rnacentral:rRNA from 1 species
AUUGAACGCUGGCGGCAGGCUUAACACAUGCAAGUCGAGCGAGCGGCGGACGGGUGAGUAAUGUCUGGGAAACUGCCUGAUGGAGGGGGAUAACUACUGGAAACGGUAGCUAAUACCGCAUACCAUCAGAUGUGCCCAGAUGGGAUUAGCUAGUAGGUGGGGUAAUGGCUCACCUAGGCGACGCUCCCUAGCUGGUCUGAGAGGAUGACCAGCAACACGGGAACUGAGACACGGUCCAUACUCCUACGGGAGGAAGCAGGGGGGAAUUUUGCACAAUGGGCGAAAGCCUGAUGCAGCCAUGCCGCGUGUGUGAAGAAGGCCUCCGGGUUGUAAAGCACUUUCAGCGAGGAGGCGUUACUCGAAGAGGAAGCAACGGCUAACUCCGUGCCAGCAGCCGCGGUAAUAC